rnacentral:lncRNA from 1 species
AUGAUCUCUACAAUGUCGCACGAGUCUCAAAAAACAUGGCAUACUCUGGUCAAGAGCAACAACUCAACAAGGGAAGAAUCAAAAAUUUUUUCUAAGGAACCAUUGAAAGAAAAUAUCGUUCCUGGAGCUUCACUUGCAAAAGUAUGUGAUGAUGAUGAGCUACCUGCGUCUCUCAUAGGACGUGUAAAGCUGAUGGAAAUUCAGAAUAGGACUGCUAAUCAUCAAAACGUUCAGAACCAAGGCAUAAGUGCAUCGGCUGAUAAAAGUCCUCCAGUGAGCCCCUCUAAACUCCGUUUUCACCUGUUUCAAAAAGAAGCUCAGAAGUUAGAUCCUGGUGAGCAAUUAGUGCAAUGUCCUCGGUGCUCUUUACCGUCACGGCAAGAUAAAACCAAAAAUUUAGGUUUGUGCACUCGUCAGGGUUGUCAAUAUCAAUUCUGCUUGAGCUGCCGUUGUGAGUUUCACCAACCUCAUUCAUGUGCUGUUUUAACCCCUCGAUACAGUAACAAAAAUAGCCUUUAUAUUAAUAGGAAAUCAAGUAGGAGGUUCCUUAGGCGCCUGUAAUAUUUUAUUGCCUCCGGUUAUUCUGUGAUACAUGUAAAAUUACCUAGCCAGUGACUAGCAGGCUUUUCACUGUCGGUUUUUGUUACCGGUUUUUUUAUAUUUUAAUUAUUCAAGAACUCCUCUUGCCUUGUAUCUCUUAAGAACGUCACAUUUCUCCUGGAUAAAUUUGAAACAAGCAUUCCAUUUUAUCAUUUGAUAACAUCUACUUUUAACAAUUUUAUGAACUGAUAAGAAUUUGUUUUCUAUUUAUGUUUUCUUAAAGAUAUUAGUAUUUUUUAUGUGUGUAUGUUUGCUUAAGCUCUUUCAAUUAGCUAGAGGGGAGAGCUAAAAAAUGUUGUCUCAAAGACAAUAGGUCCAAGACUGAAAUCCUCCCUCUGCUGUUUUGAAGUGAAGCUUCCCCCUUUUUCCAUUGUCAUGUCUCAUGAGUUCAUACUAUCUGGUCAUGUUUCUUCUUUUCUUUCUUUUCUUUUCUUUUUGUAGUCAUAAGAGAGAAACUUGUCUCGUUUCCACUUAUGGAGCAUCACAUCUUUGUUUCCCUCUUAUCCCUUACUUCAAGUUUUUUCCUGAAGACUUGCCAUGUAGAAAGUUUCUUCCAGAAAUAAUAUUUUUAAUAGAUUGUAAUUCUUGCCAUCAUAUCUCUUCUAAUCUAACAGGAAAGAGCUAUACCAUUAAAUCAAAUUUAGGAACUAUGCUAGUUUUGAAUAGAACUUCUUGUUAACCAUUUCAACUCUGAGCAGCCCAUAAUAUGAUAUUUUAAGAUGCAUUUGAAAAUUUAAUAUUCCAUUUUAAAGCUGCGUUUGUUUCAGUUCUCUUUUCUAAAUACUCAAAAUGUCUUCUUACAAGAGUGCUCUCUUUUGAAUGCUACACAGAGUUUUCUGGAGUUGGAACUUUCAUUGAUUAGCUUGUCAUUAGUUUUUUUUUUCCCUUUCUUAAUGAAGCUCUGAAUCUUGUAUUUUCUACUCACCCAUACUCAUAAAAUACCAUGACAGUAAUUUAUAUUUAGUAGGCACAGUGGUGGAUGGAGGGCAGUUUUUUCAUUUCUGUGUUUUUUUAAUCGUAUGAUGAUGAAUUGUUGGUUGGGCUAUUAAAAAGUUUCUUCAACGAUACAUUCUCGGACUCAAGUGUCAUCACUAA